AAAAUAAUUAGGUGCCCCUGAGGAAGCAGUAUUGUAGAGAUUCAACAAAUUUAUGGAUGUCAACAUUUUGCCUAGUGAGAGAAUCUCAAGUGGCAAUUGCCAUAAGCUUUUUCUUAAAAGAAAACUGCAGACAAACCUAGGCAGUAAAGCAUCCCAGUCAUAUUGUAUCUAUUUCAGUGCAGGGAACAAAUUGAACCUGGUGGAACUACACCUUGAUCAAUAGGCUUGCAGCUGUACUAGAACUUGCUUCAAGCCCAGUAACAUGAGGAAGAAAUAAUUUUCCAUGGAGACUAGUUCAUACAGGUUACCAU